rnacentral:rRNA from 1 species
AACGAACGCUGGCGGCAUGCCUAACACAUGCAAGUCGAACGAGACCUUCGGGUCUAGUGGCGCACGGGUGCGUAACGAGUGGGAACCUGCCCUUAGGUUCGGAAUAACUACCCGAAAGGGGGGAUAAUACCGGAUAAUGUCUUGGGACCAAAGAUUUAUCGCCUUUGGAUGGGCCCGCGUUGGAUUAGCUAGUUGGUAGGGUAAAAGCCUACCAAGGCGACGAUCCAUAGCUGGUCUGAGAGGAUGAUCAGCCACACUGGGACUGAGACACGGCCCAGACUCCUACGGGAGGCAGCAGUGGGGAAUAUUGGACAAUGGGCGAAAGCCUGAUCCAGCAAUGCCGCGUGAGUGAUGAAGGCCUUAGGGUUGUAAAGCUCUUUUACCCGGGAUGAUAAUGACAGUACCGGGAGAAUAAGCUCCGGCUAACUCCGUG